GUGUUGCCACAAUCAGCUAAGGCAACACAAACCCAGGUUGCACCUUUAAUUGAUACCUGCACCUAUUUGGCACAAGCAACUGUGAAGACAAAAGUAUAUUGGCAAAUUACCUUUCCAAAUAUUCCGGUAUGUAGAAGACGUCGAAGGGCAUGGUAUGAUACUCUAUUAGGAGGAACAGGGACUGUCCUGGGAGUAUCAAACACAGUUGAUAAUGAGGUAACUAGAACAAUGCUAUCUAAUACUGGACAAUAUUCGUCUCAAGCGCUCCAUCAGGUUGGAGAGUGGUUACCAACCGCAUUGGUGGGGCAAUUACAAAAUGCUAAUUUAUGGCGAAAAAGUUUUCAAUGGCAAUUGAAAUUAUGGAAUGAAACUUAUGAUGCAUUUAAAAAUAUUUCGCAUAUGGGAAAUUGGACAGCAUGUACAUUACAAACCAUUCAUGCAGAGGCUCAAAGGGAAAGAUUUCAGCGAAUAGUUACUACAGGGAACUAUCAUGAUUGGA